ACAUUUCUUUUAAAAAAAUUUUAAAGGUAUUUUCUGCUCAAUGAUUAAUUUUAAAUAGCUGCAGUAUUUUGACUGUACAAAGGUAGCAUAAUAAUUAGUUUAUUAAUUGUAAACUGGAAUGAAUGAAAAUAUGAGGGAUUAACUUUAUUAUUAAAAUUAUUAAAAUUUUAUUUUUAAGUUAAAAAGCUUAAUUGUAUUUUAGGGACGAUAAGACCCUAUAGAGAUUGAUUUUCAAUUUAUAUUUUUUUAUUGUUAAAUUUUGUUGAUAAUUAUUUAUUGAAAUUUUUGUUGGGGUGAUAGAUAAAUUUCAAACUUUAUUUUUAUAUAUCAAUUAUUUUUGAUUAAAUUGAUCUGUUAUAAAAAUGAUUAUAAGAUUAAGCUACCUUAGGGAUAACAGCGUAAUUUUAAUGGGGAGUUCUUAUUUAUAUUAAAUUUUGCGACCUCGAUGUUGAAUUAAGAUUAGAUUUUGGGGUAGGUUUUAAUUUUUCUAAGUCUGUUCGACUUUUAAAUUCUUACAUGAUCUG
rnacentral:rRNA from 1 species